UACGUAGGGCGCAAGCGUUGUCCGGAAUUAUUGGGCGUAAAGAGCUCGUAGGCGGUUUGUCGCGUCUGCUGUGAAAACUGGAGGCUCAACCUCCAGCCUGCAGUGGGUACGGGCAAACUAGAGUGCGGUAGGGGAGAUUGGAAUUCCUGGUGUAGCGGUGGAAUGCGCAGAUAUCAGGAGGAACACCGAUGGCGAAGGCA
rnacentral:rRNA from 1 species